CUUUGUGAAAAGACUUCGUUUAUGAUUUAGGCUGUGGAUAUGUCAGCUCCCCGGCAAGGAUUAGGUUUGUGAGGGCUGGCCAUGGUGGCAGCUCCAGUGACAGUGGUCAGCAGUCCUCUCUUUAGGUGCUGUGAACAGGACAUGAUAUACUUUCACCUGACAAGUGCACUUUAGUCCUUUACCCUGACUCCUCCCGUGUGUGGCCUGGACUGGUGGUGUGCUUCUCCAGGUGAGAGCCCUCCCUAGCAGAGCAGGAUCUAUUUAAAAAAAAAAAAUGGAGCAUCAGGCCUUUCUAGCCUAUCUGGAAGACAGUGGGAGGAAGGAGGGCAGGCAAGGAGCUGGGGACUAGAUAGCAGGUAGACACUCAUGAUUUACAAAAGACAGGAAGCCUUGUGUGAUUUCAGACAAGUUCUCUUCCUUUAGAAUGUUGUCUGCAUUGCUAGCUGAAAAUAGUAGAAACCUUAGAAAUUGCUAGACAUAAAAAAAAAAAAAUGACUGGAGGGUUGUAAUAAGGAGGCUAUGUUUAUAUUUUUCAGGUUAUUGAUAUCAGAAGUAGUAAGAGACUACACUUAUAAUAGAUACUUAUGGUUGAAUUAGUUUAAAAGAUGACUAGAAAAACUCCACUUUUCAUUUAAAACUUUCUUUUGUUUUAGUUCUCAAUACUAAUAUUGGCUGUUGUUUUUAACUAAGGCUGAAUCUAAUUUGUCAGUCUGGAGUGUCAUUUUCAAUGUCAACUUUUAGCUGUGUGGUAUAAAAACUGUAUUUUUGUUUGAUAGUUUCUUUUAAAUUUUACUAAAAUAAUUGUUUCUCUUCUGAGGGCCUUUUUAUGAAUGUGAAGCUUAUUGAAGAUAUAUGAUCAUUCAGUAAAACCUAGCUAGUAGUUUUAGGGUAGAAACGUGUAUUUUCCCAACACAGCACCUUUUCCUUAUCAUCUAUUCUGUUAACCAAAACAAUGCCCAAGAAAGGUAAAAUGUGUAUAAUAUAUAUGUGUGUACAUAUAUGAUUUUACCUCUUAAUAAUCUACUGCAGACAAUCCGCAUUGGUUGUAAUUUGAAAAAUUAUAGAAUCUCAGAGGGUAUUAGUAAGUUGAAUAAUUCAUUACUACACAUGAAUAAAAAUAAGUAUUAAUUGAACUAAAUUAUUCAAUUGAAAAUUUGGAUACUUUGGAAAACAUAAAAGCUUUAGGAAGUUUCUGGAUACAACCUUUGCUUUGAAAAUCCUCCCGAAGUAUAGUGCGUGUUCAUGAAUUCCACUAUAUUUAUAGGCUAAAAGUAAACAUGCAUCAAUAUUAUUUUCUAGAACUCAUACCAAGACUAGUUUUGUUUGAUUAGUACUUGGAAAUAAACUGAUGAAGACUUGAUAGAGGUCUCAGGACACCCACCCUCUUCAGUAGAAAGAGCUCAUUAUUGGAAGGUGUUUGUGCUCUUUAGUUUUGCUUUUCUGCUGAAAUGUGUCUGCAGAGCAUCUAAUUUCUAGGUAAAUUUAAGGGUUAUCAGCUCAUUUUCAAUAAUUAAACAAAGUGAAAGAUCUGUUGAUUCUUUCUUAUUACCCCUGUUGUCCUUUGGCUUUAUGCCUGUGUCAACUUUAAUUUCUGAUUACAGAGCCAGUGCUUCAGUAAUUGGCUCUUAGAAAAUGAAAUAGCUACUAAAAGAUAAAACUUUUAAAACCUAUGUUUCUAAAUUUAACUGGCCAUUAUAUGCUCUUACUUUUCAGGCAUCCUGUGCUUUGCAAUUAAUUCAACAAAUAUUUUGGCUGCUUAUUUCAUGGGAGAAGUUCACCUAAGAUUCUAGAUGGGAUAUAGAAAUGAAAUGCAUAGGUGCCUUGCCACAAAUAAGCUUAUUGGUGGUGAUGAUUGGCAAUUUGGAUUUAUGCUCUGACCUAUUUUCUGUUCUGUGAGUGGUGACAGAGAGUCCAAGAUCUUAGUUUUUUGUUUUGGUAUUACUGUUUUUUUUUUUUUUAAUCUGUGCACUCAAAGAAAUUCUUUGAGAUCAGCACUAAUGAGGUUUUUUGUUUGUUUUUCUGAUUAUUUUGAUCUGUGUCUAAAGCUGUAGAACUGAAUGUAAAAGGUAGAACUGAAGUUGUAGAACUCUAUGUAUCUGUGUCUGUAAUUCAGGAAAAAUCCACUUAUCAUGUGAUUAUAAUGUAUUUUCCUACCCUUUCCAGGUAUAGUUCAUUAGAUUGUUAUGAAAUUUAUAGAUGUUUUUCCUUAAUGGUUAUAGAGGUAAAUAAAGCAGUUGUAUAGAGUCAAUAUUCCCCAAAUUCACACACCUGAAAGCUGAUCUUCUAAUACUGUGCUAGACUUAAAAUAGCCUUCAUACAGAAACUACUAAAUAAAAAUAGUUAAGACUACAAGUUCACAAAUUAAGGUGAAUAGUUGAAUACAUUAGAUUGACUUAGUAAUUUUACCUUAAGAAAACCGUUAUACAGCUUUUCUCUGAUUUUUCAGUUUUAAGCAUAGUAUAUGCAUACAUUACUCCUACAUAGUGUUUGAGAUUAUAAAAUAUUUUCAAAUAUAUUUAACAAUAAUUUAGACCAUUGAUUUUAUAGAAGUUAUAACAUUUGCUAAAAGUCAUAACUAACUUCACUAAAAGCAAUGGUGACAAAGGAACACAAGUGUGUAAGUGCUUUUGCUUCUCAAGAAAAAAAGUAAGACUAGUGUUUUCCUAAAGUAAAUUAUUAGUUAGUUCCAGUAAAGGAAGAUUUGUGAAAGAUAGUGAGUAUGGCAAGUUGUAGGGUGAUUGAGGAAAGUAAAUUUUAUUUGGCUUGCUUUAUAAUAUCUGAAUCUGAUAAGAAAUAAUGAAAUGUAUUAAAUAUUUAGCAGAGUUUGCUCAGUGUUGAUAGAGUUAUUCACAAGACAGUUUAAGGAACUAGAAGGAUCCCAUGAAAACUUCGCUGCCAAGGACUGCACUAAUACAAAACUGGAAAGUAAUUCACUCUAUUUAAAUAAUAAUUUUCUCUUAGAAUUAACCAAGAAUGAAAAGGUUUUCUUUACUUGCUGUGAGUAAUUUUCCUAUAGGUCAGAGAUUUUGUACCUCAGCAAUAAUUUUCUCAGAUUUGUGUUGACCUUAACAUGUCCUUGGUUAUUUACAAAAACAAAAUAAAACAAACAUAUGCAAAACAAAAAAAAAUCAAUAAACAGUAAAGAAUCAAUGUUUGGUUUCUCUUUAUGAAGAACCAAAGUUUCCAUAUACUUUACCACCUUGAUUAAAUAAGUAACCAGGUAUUGUUUCUCAUGCUCCCAUGCUCCUAUCUUAAUUAAUUAAGCAAAUCUCCUCUGACAGCUUGAUUUUGCUUUCCCUGGAUUUGAUCCUAAAUUUAGAAAAAAAAAUUCAGGAUAUCUUUUACACUGAAAAUUAUCUUUGCAGUUUUCCAAAGGGCCCCUGGAAAGCUUUAAUAGGUUAAGUUUUGCAUUUUUAAAAUGAUUUUUAUUUUUUCCAUUAUAGUUGAUUUACAGUGUUCUGUCAAUUUCUACUGUACAGCAAAGUGACCCUGUCAUACAUAUAUAUGUGUGUGGGGGGGUGUAUAUGUAUAUAUAUAAAUAUAUAUAUAUAUAUAUAUUCUUUUUCUCACAUUAUCCUCCAUCAUGUUCUAUCACAAGUGACUGGAUAUAGUUCCCAGUGCUCUACAGCAGGAUCUCAUUGCUUAUCUACUCCAAAUGCAAGAGUUUGCAUCUAUUAACCCCAGACUCCCAGUCCAUCCCGCUCCUCCUCCCCCUUGGCAACCACAAGUGAAAAGGCCCUGGAAAUUUGUCAGUUCUUAAUAUAUUUUUAUUCUCAGGGAAAGUGUAUGAAAUAUUUAUGCCUUCUAUCCCAAGAGCUAAUUUUACUAUUGUCCGUUGUGCUAUUAUUGGCUGUUGAAAUAAGUUAACCACUGUCACGAGUCUCAUUAUGAAAUAGAGUUCUUUUCUCCAGUACUUGACUGAUGGCUCUGCUCUAAGCUAUAGGCUAGGAUUUCAGAAGAGUUUCAGAAUCUGUGGAAAGGACUGUACAGCACUCUGAACUACCUCACUUCAGUAGACAGGCUUGAGUGCAGGCUUCCAAGUGGACACUGUUAGACAAUGUUCAGACUUUACUAGGGACAGUCAGGAUUUCCAGGCCUUUCUUCUCUUCAGUGGAGCAAGACUUAAUCACUGAGGACUGAAUGAACUGAGAGAAAUUUAUUUGUGGUUAUUGUUGGUACUGUUUGAAUACUCUGUUCUUUUUGGUUAUAUGAGGAAGCCCUUUCUCUUUCUUGAGAUGUACCCAAGUCUAAGUUUAAUUUACUUUGGUAAACUGAAAUGAAAUUUUUUUUUCUUUAGGCAAAGAAUGAGUUUAAUAUUAUAGAGCACUUGUGAGAAAAACAAAUGGGCAGGCAAAGGAGUUCAGCCCCAAGAACAAAGAGGGCUCCAUUUUUAUAUCAAAGAAGUGGGGAGAGGAGACCACCUUCUUCCUCAUUUUGGGGUAGACAUUAAGGCUGAGAUGAGGCAUUUUAAUGAUGAGUGAUUUUCACUUGUCCCUUGGGAUUCUUGACAACCUAAUUAUUUGGAUAGAUUCAUAGAAAUCUUGCCCAACCCCAUUUUUUUACCAGAAUAUAAUUGGAAAAAUCCAUUGUGUAACAAGUAUCACAAUUGAGAGUGUUUGUCCCUUAGGAUUCUUGACAGCCUAAUUAUUUGGAUAGGUUCAUAGAAAUCUUGCACCCCCCACCUUUUUUUACCAGAAUAUAAUUGGAAAAAUCAAUCGUGCAACCAGUAUCACAAUUGAGAGUGUUUGUCAUUUAACCAGGCAUGAAGAACCCACUAUUAGAGAACAAGUACUUCCUUGGAAGCCUGUAUGCAAGACUAUUUAAUGUGGAUUAGUGCCUACAAAGUCCUUCCAAGAACCUUGGCUUUGGAACUGGCUUAUUAGAGCCAGCCUCCCAACUGGAAUGGUCUGCCAGCUGAGAGAACUGAGAAAAUGUUGGAAUUCAGGAAGAGAGUAUAUAUACACAUACACCCCGAUACAUAGAUAUUAAAGGUGAAACCUAUUGGAGAAAGUGUCUUGCAUUUGGUCUUCUAGACUCACCAUAAAAAGUAAUUGAAGUUUGAAAAAAUCUAAUCCAGGUUUCCCAUUGUGGCACAGUGGAUUAAGAAUCCAACUGCAGCAGCUCAGGUUACUGCGGAAGUGUGGGUUGGAUCCCUGGCCUGGCACAGUGGGUUAAAGGAUACAGUGUGGAUCCCAGCUGUGGCUUGGGCUCAGUCCCUAGCCCAGGAGCUUCCAUAUGCUGUGGGUGUGACCAUACAAUUAAAAAAACAAAACAAAACUAAACUAAUCCCAUACAAGAUCCUCAAUGAAAAGUCCAGGCAGUAGUUAAUUCUCAGUUCUUCAUAGUUGUUUAGUACUGUAAGGCCUUGAAUUUGCAGAGCAAACUCAAGAAGGCCUGUCUGUUUAAUUAGCACUCUUGCUGCAUUGCAUCUCUGUGUAUAAUUAGGCCAAACCUAAUGAGGCUAGACUUUCUGUUUAAAGAACAAUCUGUGGGGAUUAUUUAUGAUCAAGGGGUAGGAAUAUCAGAAAAAUAUUCUGAAACAUAAAAAUGGGCAGGCUUUCCUGGGUGUUUCUUCAGUACAGUUUUACCUUUGAUUUUUUGUUUUCCUGGCUAUUGUAUAACUUUGUUGGGGAAGAGGUCAAUUUAUAGAUUAUUAUCUGGUAGAGAUGCAGGUAAAUUUUGCCUGGUAAAAAAGGUGAUUCAAAAAAUAUAGUUUAUUACCCCUUUGGACAUUAACCCAUUUUGUAUCUAGUCCAGCAAUCUUAUCCUAACACAACUUUCUAAAACUGACUUUCAAUGCCUCACUCUUCAGUUUCUCAUUUUAACAUCUUACUGGUUUCUUCAUUAAUUGCUGUGUGUACAAAAUCUUUGACAUACGUUGUUUUACAUUUACAUGUGAGUCAUGGUUUUACCUUUUUGAAAGUUGUACUUUUCUAGCCCUGAGAAACUGGGGGCAGGAUGUGUCAUUUAUCCAAGCAGAGAAUUCUGAGGAAUAAACAGGUCAGGGACAGGAAUGAGAUGACUGGAAAAAAAUUAAACAUACUGUUUUGGAAAUAUUUAAUUCAAAACAGAUCUUUGUUCGCCUGAGAAAGUUUAUAGUAGUGUGAAGCAACAGGACAUAGAGGAAGACUAGCAAACUCGACCUUGCAUAGCAGCCAGAAUCACAAAGGUGUGGAGAGAUAUGUGUGCAAGGUGUAAUAGAAGGCACAGUCAACAAAACCUUUGGAAAAAUGACAGCCUAGCACUUCAGAAAGAUUCAACUGAUGUCAAUGUGUAUGAUGACUUGUCAAGAGGGAAUCUAGGAUCGAUGGAUGGGAGGAAAGUAUUAGAAUUUACAUAAUUUGGGGAGUUUCUGCAAUGGCUCAGUGGUAGUGAACCUGAUUAGUAUCCAUGAGGUUGCAGGUUCAAUCCCUGGCCUCACUCAGUAGGUUAAGGAUCUGGCAUUGCCGUGAGGUGUGGUGUAGGCCACAGACACAGCUUGGAUCCUGCGUUGCUGUGACUGUGGUGUAGACUGGAAGCUGCAGCUCUGAUUUGACCCCUAGCUUGGGAACCUCC
rnacentral:lncRNA from 1 species